rnacentral:rRNA from 1 species
UGACAAGCUACUAAGUGCGAUCGGUGGAUGCCUGGGCACCAAGAGCCGAUGAAGGACGUUGUAACCUGCGAUAAGCCCUGGGGAGUUGGUAAACGAGCUGUGAUCCGGGGAUGUCCGAAUGGGGAAACCUUGAAUGUCCGGAGUCAUGUCCGGUGACCCUGCCCUGAAUGUAUAGGGGUGUGGGAGGUAACGCGGGGAAGUGAAACAUCUCAGUACCCGUAGGAAGAGAAAACAAUUGUGAUUCCGUGAGUAGUGGCGAGCGAAAGCGGAUGUGGCCAAACCGUGUGUGUGUUCAAGCCGGCAGGUGUUGCAUGUGCGGGGUUGUGGGGGCCUGUGUGAUCCUGCUGCCGUGGGAUCGGCUUGCAUGUGGUGUGAAGUUGAAUCGUCUGGGAAGGCGGACCGUAGUGGGUGAGAGUCCCGUAGACGUGAGUGUCAUGUGUGGUUGUCAGGUUGCCCCAAGUAGCGCGGUACUCGUGGAAUGUCGCGUGAAUCUGGCGGGACCACCCGU